GAACUCGCAACAAAUCCUUCGCGCUUGACUCCGACACUUUGUUUCACUUUAUGUCUUCAUCGUUAUCGUAGUUAAUCCUGCACACACAAGUAAAAACUCUACUCCGAUCUAGACAAUUAUUACAACGCGAAUUGACAUUCUGUUGCCCGGCACGUCAUUGGUUGGCGCUUCGUCCGAUUCUUUAGCGCAUCAUCCUCUCUUGCGGCUUGUUGCCCAAUCGACGGUUAACCUCCGCAACCCCGAUAUCCU
rnacentral:lncRNA from 1 species